GCCAAAUUAAAUUCUUCUAGAUUCUAUUAUUUAUAAUUUUCAUUGGACCAUAUAUACACUUGUUCAAUCAUGAUUUGAUUAAAUCAUUUUGAUCAGACUAAUUGGAAUAUCAAAUAGUGUUGCCUGAUCAACAUCGAUUCACUUUCUUAAUUUCUCUCUCCUCUGACAUUCUCUAUCUACUUAUCUAUAAAUCCAAUGAAGGAUCCCAAGCUUUGUUGCAUUAAAUCCAAG
rnacentral:lncRNA from 1 species